rnacentral:rRNA from 1 species
UGCGUAGGCGGAUUAAUAAGUCAGUGGUGAAAACCUGCAGCUUAACUGUAGACUUGCCAUUGAUACUGUUAGUCUUGAGUACGGUCAAGGUAGGCGGAAUGUGUAAUGUAGCGGUGAAAUGCUUAGAUAUUACACAGAACACCGAUUGCGAAGGCAGCUUACUGGGCCAUUACUGACGCUGAGGCACGAAAGCGUGGGGAGCGAACAGGAUUAGAUACCCUGGUAGUC